GACCUUGAUUUUCUAAACCACAUAGCAUACUUAGCGUAGUCGGACUCAAUUCAAUAUGACCACUAGGGUCGGAAUAUCAACAGUCUUCUUAGUCAUUACCGAAACGAUGGUAACAACACACUUGAAUAAAACGAAAUCAAUUACUAGCUUCUUGGUAACCUUGUGACUUUCCCUGAUCCAAGUGUGAGUCCUGUGCUUCCGGUAGUAUAGGCCUCUACUACCAUUCACACCUACUCAUACUCGUCCCAAGUAUUGUCCCGCAGUCUCUCCAAGUCACCAUACACGAAAAAAAACAACUUAACACAUCAGAUAACAAAACAAAGGUUUCAUAUUAUUUCUUGAAACGAUUACAUAGGUGUUCAAGUUCACCCUAGACUAUGCCUCUAACAGGCUAAAUCAUAUGAUUCUAUGGCUACAUUAUAACUCGAUCCUUGGAUGUCAAGCCGUCAUUCCUGAAUCCUCGCAUUGUCAUCUGCUUCGUCUAGGAUCAUAUGGAAUGCUCUUGCCUUCGGUUUUGGCGGAAUGUUUGGUUUUGCCGCCUCUUUCUUUUUCGGGCAAUCCUUAGCAACAUGCCCUUCUUCACGGCAUUCAUAACACACCCUUUUGCACUCGUUGGCGUAAUGUCCGGUCUUCCCACACUUGUAGCAAGUCACUUCUUCGCUACAUUUCCCAAAGUGAUACUUCUUGCACUUCUGGCACCAUCUCACUUUGUUUCCUCCUCCGUUAGACUCCUUUGAACCAGACUUGAUCUUCCUAUUGGGCCUCGUAGAUUCCUCAAACUUCCUCUUUUCGCCAACCUCAAUCUUGUUGGCAGCUCUUCCCUUAAUCAUAUCUUCCACAGACUUGGCAGCCCAGAUAGCUGCCUCCAGAGUAGGAGCCUGACGCACUGGCACCGCGUACUCCCAUGGAAGUCCCUUUGCGUACUUGUCAAUUUUCGUCAGCUCAUCCGGAACAAGACGCAAGGCAAACUCCAUCUUUUCUGUGAAGUUGUUCGUGUAUUCAUCGAUUGACAUGCUUCCCUUCUUCAGGGUUAGAAACUGGUUCUCUAGCUCAAGCAGGUUUUGAGCUGAGCAGUACUUUCGUUUGAAUUGCACUAGAAAUUCUGUCCAUGUCAGUUGCAGCGGCUCAUUGGGGCUUAGAGUCUUCCCUAAGGUAUUCCACCAUCGUACAGUGCUUCCUCGAAACCGACGCACUGUAAAUGUAGUAUGUAGGUUCCCUCUGCAACCGCAUGUCAUGAAAGCUAACUCCAUUUCCGAGAUCCAAUCCAUGACCCCGAUCGGAUCCUCCUUUCCAGUGAAAGUCGAUGGCUUGCAAGUCAGAAAAUCCUUGUACUUGCAUCCAUUCCUCUAGACUUCGUCAUCUUGGUUGUUUUUUCGAACGAUUGGUGGGUUGACUUGACCAACAGUCCCACUGUAGUUUCCUUCCUCAGUCUACCCUUCGUUCAAGUCGGGCUGUUCGAUCUGAAUGGUCGCUUCCUCUCGAUUUUGUUGGAGCAAACGCCUCGUUUCCUCCAUUUGACAAUCCAACAUCGCCUGGAUCAUCGUUUGUACUCUGGCCAUCGUUAUUGGCUCAGCAGCGGCUAACACAACCGGUAUCUGCUCAAUCACCGGGGGCUGAUCUCGGUUCCCAUUUGCAUUCACGUUUCCGCUACGGGUUCUUGCCAUCUUGAUCUAUACACCGAAUAAGGUGAAUCUAGAUCUUUACUUAGGAUUGACGGUUAAAUCAUCCUUAUCACUCCGAAACGUUUAUAUGCUAGUUCUAAUAUCGUAGUUGUACGUUUAGAAUCCUAAACACAUAAGGUUUCCAGAUCUGGUCGGCAACAGACCAUAGAUCCGAACAAUUAACAACAUAUCAUGCACAAAGCAUUUAGCACAUAAAAGCAUUUUAGGCACAAUUCCUAAAAUAAGCUAGUGCUCACACCUCACAAUCAUCGCUUAGCAUUCUAAGUUUAAGUCUAGAAAUAAAUCCAUAUUCCUAGUUCGCUUAAACUAAUGCUCUGAUACCAACUGUGACAUCCCCAUUUUCACGGCCAGAAAAGACCGAUUUUGUUUAUGCUUUAUAAAAAUCAGAGUACUUCAUUUUAUAAAAAUGUUGCGGAAUUUGUUCCCAGAAAAACAUGGUAAAUACGUUAUUAAAACAUUUUCGAAGAAACGUAUUUAUUUCAUUUUAAAACGUUUGGGAUGUCAUCGUUAAUACAGAAACAUAAGCAUAAACAGAACUUACAAUUAUUUACACUAGUGAUCUACAUCUCUUUAAAUCUCUCAGUGUAAUGUCACUUCAUAUCAACACCUGUGAUAUAAAUAAACUGAGUGGGUCAGGUUGGGAAACCUGGUGAGUACAUAGGGUUUUCAACCCACAAUAAUAUAAUUAUUAUUUUUAAACAUCAAACAAUCAACCCAAUUACCCAUUCCCGUUAUCCUCACAUUACGUCCCUAAAACAUCUAACACAAGGGACCUAGUCAAAGGACUAUCAUUGGGAUGGAGUAUACCUGGUGAGCACACAGUUAACACAGUUCGAAUAAACACACAAUUCGAAUAAACACACAGUUCCAAUAAACACCUACAGGUUGCGAGUCUGCUAGUGUUCCACUGGAUUGUCUNUGCUAGUGUUCCACUGGACUGUCUAGAAUAGUCCGUGGUCGUCAUCUAUACCCCGCUAGAUGACUAGAUCAUCAAGAACAGCUAUAACGAGGCCUCUCAUUAUUUUGUUUUGUCACACAGCAACUAUUAUAUCUACCUGUGUUUUACCCAGCACAUUAUGUAGAUAUAAAAUACAUAUACCGUUUAAAUCAUUGAAAACAUAUAUAAAACGUUCAUCCAACAUAGAUAGCAAGUAUACAGAUAAUAUACACACACAGCACAUAAAAUACUUCAUAUCUAUGUGUAAGCUGAAAGUAACUAUGCACUCACCUGAUUAGGUGGUGACUCAGCACUUGGACAACGCUUCGAUAUUCUCAAAACGAUAUUCCUUCGAUAAAACCUAGUAUUGAUACCAAUAGGGUUUAGUUUAAUGAUAACCGCGACAAAUUAAUUAGUCUGACUAUUAUUAAGUGUUAAUAACACGCAAUAAUAGCCCAAAUAAUUAUUUUAAGGACAUAAUAACAUUCCUAUAAUUAUUUGAAAGCUAUAUAAAAAAUUGCGUAAGCGUAGCACACUUACAAUGAAUUUUAUCGAAAACCGGGACUUAAUUGGAGCAGCAUUUCGAAACCGAAAAACUCCUUUUUCUCAGGACUCUGGGAGCCUCUGGGCUUCCCUAGGGUGCUAAGGGGUUUUUCUAGGGUUUAGGGGGGGGGGGGUUUGGAACUCUAGAGAGAGAAAGAUACUAGAGAGAGAAGUGGAAAUUGUGUGAAAAUCAGGGCUGCCUUCGCUGCCUUUUAUAGCCUGCGAGGCCUCGGUACGCUGGGCGUACCUUGGACCUACGUGGGGCGUAAGGGCUCGGAUAAGGCUGCUAGAUCGACUCCAGUUGUCUGGCAUUCGGAAGGGAUAAGACCGAGGUUACACGGGGCGUUCUGGAUCUCGUAUGCGAGGCGUACUCAUGCGCGUGGCGUCGGACGCUAACGCUGGGCGUAUGCAAGGGGUUGCGUGUCAUGCAUCCAAGGCGAGGCUUUCUUCAGCGAUGGAUGGUCUAGAUCGAGCCACGUCAUCGCAUCUAGCAAUAGCUUCUCAAAUUCUAGUUUAAUCUUUAAAAAUUCGUAACUUUCUCAUACGAACUCCGUUUUUGACAUUCUUUAUAUCCACGCGAAGGUGGGAAAGUACUCUACAACUUUCGUUUAGACUCCGUCGGCUAAUUUUGGCUCGAUUUUAAGUUUUAUAUUAUUAACGGGCUGGGACACGAUUGGUCCGUUAAAUCCUCAUAACUUCUUCAUCCGACUUCCGUUUUCGCCCAUCUUUUUCUCGUUACGCUACUCUUAACGAGAUCUUCGAUUCUCGUUCAGGUCAUGUCGGCUAAAAACCGCUCGAUCUAAUAUUCGAAUUUCGGGUUGUACACUGCUAAUCUGAAACUUCGAAAAAUCAUAACUUCUUCAUACGAAGUCAGAUUUGGGCGUUCUUUUUAUCGAUGUUCUUAGUUUAACAUAUUCUACGACUUUCGUUUAGAUCGCUAAGGCUAAAUCUCGCUCUAUCGUAAAUUCACUAUUUACGCUUCCCGGUGCCAUGCCGGUUCUGCCGCGAAGCUUCGACGGGCCAUAACUUCUUCGUUAUAACUCGGAUUUCGGCGUUCUUUAUAUGUACGGAAACCUUGUGACAUAUUCUACAACUUGGUUAAGGUUAUUUAUUCUAAAUAAUCUUUUUUUCAAAAAGUCGUUUUCGACCCCUAUUGCCUCUAAUUUGACUAGCCCGGAUCUACGGGCGUUACAAUUAUCUCCCCCUUAGGAUGAUUACGUCCUAGAAUCAUCAACGAAACAGGGCUCGUAUAAUGACUCCAUACGUCAUCUCUUCAUCCUAGGUAAUAAUUAUAACUUCUAUAUUCCUUCAAGUCUAUCUCUUAGACUCAUUGACUGUAAGCAGUACUCGAUCGUGCACCUGCUCUCUACCUCGGGCUAGACUUCAAAUUAUGACCUAUCAUCAUGUGAUGCACAUUUAGACUUAGGUCUCUUAGAGUUAAAUUCUAAAAUAGACUAUGCCUUCCUUCAUGUUCUAAUGUGAUAUAAUCACACUUUAACAUGUAGCGUUUCUGGCUACCAACUUCUUUAACAACGAACGCGAUACUUCUAUUGAUUGCUUUGAUUUCAAUCGUUUGGUUUAAGUCGGACGCUACAUCAAACUUGGUUCUCUGAACCACGCAACAUACUCAUCGUAGUCAGACUCAAUUCGGUAUGACCACUAGGGUCGGAAAUCAACAAUCUUUUUAGUCAUUAUCGAAACGAUGGUAAUGACAUACUUGAAAAAAAAACAGAAUCAGUUACUAGCUUCUUGGUAACCUUGUGACUUUCCCUGAUCCAAGUGUGAGUCCUGUGCUUCCGGUAGUAUAGGCCUCUACUACCAUUCACACCUACUCAUACUCGUCCCAAGUAUUGUCCCGCAGUCUCUCCAAGUCACCAUACACGAAAAAAAACAACUUAACACAUCAGAUAACAAAACAAAGGUUUCAUAUUAUUUCUUGAAACGAUUACAUAGGUGUUCAAGUUCACCCUAGACUAUGCCUCUAACAGGCUAAAUCAUAUGAUUCUAUGGCUACAUUAUAACUCGAUCCUUGGAUGUCAAGCCGUCAUUCCUGAAUCCUCGCAUUGUCAUCUGCUUCGUCUAGGAUCAUAUGGAAUGCUCUUGCCUUCGGUUUUGGCGGAAUGUUUGGUUUUUCCGCCUCUUUCUUUUUCGGGCAAUCCUUAGCAACAUGCCCUUCUUCACGGCAUUCAUAACACACCCUUUUGCACUCGUUGGCGUAAUGUCCGGUCUUCCCACACUUGUAGCAAGUCACUUCUUCGCUACAUUUCCCAAAGUGAUUCUUCUUGCACUUCUCGCACCAUUUCACUUUGUUUCCUCCUCCGCUAGACUCCUUUGAACCAGACUUGAUCUUCUUAUUGGGCCUCGUAGAUUCCUCAAACUUCCUCUUUUCGCCAACCUCAAUCUUGUUGGCAGCUCUUCCCUUAAUCAUAUCUUCCACAGACUUGGCAGCCCAGAUAGCUGCCUCCAGAGUAGGAGCCUGACGCACUGGCACCGCGUACUCCCAUGGAAGUCCCUUUGCGUACUUGUCAAUUUUCGUCAGCUCAUCCGGAACAAGACGCAAGGCAAACUCCAUCUUUUCUGUGAAGUUGUUCGUGUAUUCAUCGAUUGACAUGCUUCCCUUCUUCAGGGUUAGAAACUGGUUCUCUAGCUCGAGCAGGUUUUGAGCUGAGCAGUACUUUCGUUUGAAUUGCACCAGAAAUU
rnacentral:lncRNA from 1 species